rnacentral:misc_RNA from 1 species
GAUGAAGAACGCAGUGAAAUGCGAUAAGUAAUGUGAAUUGCAGAAUUCAGUGAAUCAUCGAAUCUUUGAACGCACAUUGCGCCCGCCAGUAUUCUGGCGGGCAUGCCUGUUCGAGCGUCAUUUCAACCAUCAAGCCCCAGGCUUGUGUUGGGGACCUGCGGCUGCCGCAGGCCCUGAAAACCAGUGGCGGGCUCGCUGUCACACCGGGCGUAGUAGAUUUUAUCUCGCUCUGGGCGUGCUGCGGGUUCCGGCCGUUAAAAAACCCUUUUAACCCAAGGUUGACCUCGGAUCAGGUAGGAAUACCCGCUGAACUUAAGCAUAUCAAUAAGCGGAGGA